rnacentral:rRNA from 1 species
UACGAAGGGGGCUAGCGUUGCUCGGAAUUACUGGGCGUAAAGCGCACGUAGGCGGCUUGUUAAGUCAGGGGUGAAAUCCUGGAGCUCAACUCCAGAACUGCCCUUUGAUACUGGCGAGCUUGAGUUCGGGAGAGGUGAGUGGAACUGCGAGUGUAGAGGUGAAAUUCGUAGAUAUUCGCAAGAACACCAGUGGCGAAGGCGGCUCACUGGCC